CCUGAAUGAAAAAUAUGAAGCUUUCGAUUUGUUAUUGAUAUCUUAAAUCGCGACACUGUUUGGUACAUCGAUUAGCAUGGUAUUGGCAAGCUGAUCAAGAUAAUAUUUACACAUUUACAAAUACUGUUCGCAUUUGGGCGAUAGACCGACCUUACGUUAUGGGCGUAUGUGGGCGUUAUAGUAGGCGAUCACCCCUGUUAUGUAUGUAAAAUACCUCGGUAGUUUAAAAUUUUUCACUAUAUUUGUUGAAAAACUAACGACGCCUACACUCAGAAAACUGAAGAACGAAUAAUUUAAGAACGAACGUUCUUAAAAAUGUACCGUGUCGUACUUAAAAUUUUUAAGACAACCGUUCUUGGAAUAAGUACUAGUUGUACUCGAAUUACACAUUUCAAAAGCGAUAUUAUUGAUACUCAUGGAAAACAAAGGUUUAUCUUUUCUCAUUUAUGUAUAUUCCUUGAUCAUUUUAUACGACCAAUUUUAAAAAAAUAUAAAAAAAAAAGAGAAGUUUUUUUAAAAAUUUAUGCGAUUGAAAAAUCUCCAGCCAUUCGACUUCUUACACUUGUUAAUAUCGAUUACAUUUCUGUGUUGUUAAAGAACCAUAUGUUUUUUCGAUAAUCGAUUGCAACACGGCGCUCAUUUAGUGUCAAAAAGUUCCUGGGGUAACAAGUAGAAAGUGAAUUAAGUGAAAUAAUUGAAGAAUAAUGUGAAAAUGGGCACGGUGUGCAGGUUAAAAAUCGACUUCUGGGAAAUAUACCCAGAGAAAGAGCAUGCAUUGGUUUUGAAAUAGGACGACCUGAAGCCUUUACGAUAGGAAGAUUAAAAACGAUCUCAGCAGGCAACAGCUUACCGAAGCACAGUCGGCAAUAAAUGAAGAUGCCCAGGACUCUAUUUGUUAUUUUGCUUGACACCGCGUUUCAUUAAAUAUGUUUAGCUGUAAGAACUUUAAGAAAAGUGUAACGAUUUAAAUUUUAAGAAAAAAGUUAAGGAUGUUUUUAUGUAUACAUUUACAAUAUAUAAAAUAAAAAUAACAA